UACGUAGGGUGCAAGCGUUAAUCGGAAUUACUGGGCGUAAAGCGUGCGCAGGCGGUUUGUUAAGUCCGUUGUGAAAUCCCCGAGCUCAACUUGGGAAUUGCAAUGGAUACUGGCAAGCUGGAGUAUGGUAGAGGAAGGUGGAAUUCCCGGUGUAGCAGUGAAAUGCGUAGAGAUCGGGAGGAACAUCAGUGGCGAAGGCGGCCAUCUGGGACAACACUGACGCUGAAGCACGAAAGCGUGGGGAGCAAACAGG
rnacentral:rRNA from 1 species